CGGAGUUGAACCCACAGCUUUUGGUGUGUGGGAUGACGCUCCAAUACACUAAGCACCCAGCCAGGGCUUUCAUUGCUUGUAUUUAUCAUACUUUAUUUUUGGAAUUAGGUUAUUUUAUUUUCUGGUGUAAUAUAUACACCAGUGAAGAACUCCUUGGGUAUAAAACAUUUUUAAAAUUUGGAAUUGUUUCCUCACGAUGGAUUCCUGAAGUAAUAUUAUUAAUCAAAGGUUAUAAAGCUUUUAAGGACUCUUGCUGUACAUUUCCAAAUUGUUAUUCCUAAAGUGUGUAUUCCUAAGGUGCGUAUUCCUAAGUUGUGUACUCCUAAGUGUGUAUUCCUUCUGUGAGUUGGGCAGCUCCAGGUCGCAGGUGACAUUUGCUGUCUGAGCGCCUGCGUCCCCACCUGCUGACCCAGGACGAGGUUUCCACACAGAUGCAGGGGCCUCACUCCCUCUCCUCUGUCCACCCUCAGCAUCACCCUCAGCACCACCCUCAGCGUGCAGCCCGCCCGCCUGGCCCAGAAAUUCCAUUCCUGGGCGCAGGUCCUCACUCCACUCUUGCGGGGAAGAGACUCUCACUCUGCUGUGAUUUCUGUUCACUGAGGAAGUCGGCGCUGAGUUCAGGACGGACCCUGAGGUCCGGGGUGCAGCGGCGCCCGCGGCAGGAGCGGCCUGUGCGGCCAGGCCGUGCUCGCCUCUCCCUAUGACCAGACGGAUCCCACAGCAUUUCUCUUCAUGGGUUAUUUCAACUCACUUGAAACUAUUUGCAGACAGAAAGACAAUUAUUUUGAAUGCUCAUCUCAGCAUGGAAGACGGAGUCACGGGAUACACGCGCCCUAUGCCUCUGCCGCCGGCCAGGGCUGAGCUGGGACUCAUGGUGUCGGGAAAGGAGAGUGAGAACCGGGGCCGUUGGGAGGCAGCAGACACUCCACCCGAGUGAGAAGUUCUGCAUGGGAAGAAGGUCCAGGAAGGACGCAAACUAGACACGAGGCUGCUCGGCAUGUGGGAUUUAAUCCGAGGGGACAGGACACGACAGUAAACAGCACUUUCUAGAAUAACUGUCAUCCCCAACACGUGCAAACCGUUUAGAAAGUGGGCUGAGGCCGUCCUCCGACACGAGCGUGUGGGAGACGCACAUGGAUCGGACACAGUGUGGCAUCCGCCGGGCACUGUCUUGUCACCAAAUCUCCUGACCAGCACGUGGUGAGGUCAAGCAGGAGACGUGCGGCUCACGGACUACAUCCUGCUCCCGGGCCCGUUAACUAACUACAGGUGGACAUGUGGGUAUUCUAGAUGCGAGAGCACAGUCCUCCUAGCAACUGGAGAUACAGCUUUGAACGAUUUUGUGGGAUUGACCUGUGAUUGUCUGAAUUAAGAAUGCUUCAGUGAAAAACUUGCAUUAACACAUCAGAGACUAAAGUUGUAGAGAUUAAUCCUGGUGAGUUUUUUAGGGAAAUGCUGUCCAACUCCAUGUACAAAAGCAGGACUGUGUCAGGUUAUGUUUAAUGGGUGUUGACUGGCUUAAGCAUAGACAAUCCCCUUUCAGUCCUGUGGUUACAAAAACUGUA